ensembl:lncRNA
UUAGUUACUUUUGUACAGAUCAACAGACAACCUGCUACUUCCAUGACAAAUGCUUUUUAAAUCCAAGGAUUUCAGCCAACUCAACCCACAGAAACAGAGACAUAAUUAUUACAAAAGGCCUCUGAAUAUCCCCAGAUAGCUCAAGGACAAGGCCUGAGAUAUCAUAAGGACUCUAUAUGCCUCAGCAGUUUGGACUACACCACCAGAGUGCACAGCCAUUCCACAUUCAUUUCUCUUGCAUCUCCAGCACCAUGAAACUGAUAAACCCCAGCUGCUGAUCAAACCAAGGUCUGAGACAGCAGGAAGGGCAGGAAACUGCAGGUGCUGGUGGAGGAGUUGGAGUUAGGCUCACUUUCCUGCCCCAUCUCCUAACUUGAAGCUUCUGAAAUACAGGUGAGGGUCAUUUAUCCAAAAACUAAUCAUCCAAGUCAAUCUAGAUUGGAAAGAGUAAGAAACCUCUAGGAAAACCUCUACAGUUUGGGGUUUCUGACACUUCAAACCCAGUGAAGUUAACAUUGUGAACUUGUGAAUUGUGGCUUAUGUGACCGUGGGGAGAAAGCCAACCACAUAGUAAGCAAGCUGAACAUCUCUCUGUCCUCCCUUAAUUUAUAGACAAUUUCCU